GAGUUUGAUCCUGGCUCAGAUUGAACGCUGGCGGCAUGCCUUACACAUGCAAGUCGAACGGCAGCACGGGAGCUUGCUCCUGGUGGCGAGUGGCGAACGGGUGAGUAAUGCAUCGGAACGUAUCCUGGAGUGGGGGAUAACGUAGCGAAAGUUACGCUAAUACCGCAUAUUCUGUGAGCAGGAAAGCGGGGGACCUUCGGGCCUCGCGCUCUUGGAGCGGCCGAUGUCGGAUUAGCUAGUUGGUGAGGUAAAGGCGUCACCAAGGCGACGAUCCGUAGCAGGUCUGAGAGGAUGAUCUGCCACACUGGAACUGAGACACGGUCCAGACUCCUACGGGAGGCAGCAGUGGGAAUUUUGGACAAUGGGGGCAACCCUGAUCCAGCCAUGCCGCGUGAGUGAAGAAGGCCU
rnacentral:rRNA from 1 species